AUCUUUUGGAUCUGGGCUGUUUCUUGAGAAGGGGUGCUGUGUAGGUAGAGAAGCCUUUUGCCACUGGGGCUGAGAAGCACACCCAGAAACAGGUUCAGCAGAUGACCAUUGGGGUGUUUUACCGCUUCCUGGCUGCUGGAGGUGCCCCUUGGACUAAUGGCAGCUUUGGUUAACCCGCUCAGUCAAGUUCCCAAUGUUAGGCGGAUUCCGUCUUCUUUUACACAGCUCCUGCUGCAGAGGAGCACAAGGCUCAGAAUGACAGAGAAUUCAAUAUUUCAGUUUCUUGUUUAAAGAGACAAGCCUGUUGAGUUCAGUAGGACUGAAGCACAUGGAUAUUUUUGGAUCCUCACAUUUGAGGGAUGCUCCUAACAUCACAGCAAGUGGCAAUCUUCUGUCUCCUCAGAAUUUUGUUAAUCUGUGAGCUGUCUUUAUCAUGUUAAUUGAAAUUCUUUGUAGAAAUACAUGUUCCUUGUUUUUUUUUUUUCACAUUAUAUUGGCUACUGUCUGUUUUCCACGGAUACCUUUCAGAUGUUGCCAUAGCUUGCUAACAUAUUGCUUGUUAUCAGUAUGUUUGUCUGUAUUUUCUCUGGAUCUACUCAUUGUUCACCUUGGUGAAUGGAUUCUGGGAAUCCACAAGCCAGCAGAACAGUUCCUGCCUCUCGGAGCCUGAUCCAUGUUGUCCUCUGCUGAUGUACCACUAAGUACCCAUUGCUGAUGUAUUUGUAACACUGAAAAGCUAUCUGAGCUUCCUACCUCAAGCGCUGCUUCCCCUUCUGUGUUUAAAAAUAUGUUGCAUUGAAUGUAGAUGUUGCAUUGAAGAUCCUUCAGCUGUGCUAUAAAUCCUCAUUCUGUGAAAUAAUUCAUUCAAAUGCUUGUUGCUGCUGCUUGUCAGGGAUAGUGGUGAUGCCAGUUAGAAAGUUAGGUAAUUAAAUUGCUGUCACAUCUCUGGAAAUAAGAAGCGAGUUAGACUGCUCUUAUUUACAAGAAGAAAGGGAAGUACAGUGAUUCUGACUGGUAGCUUUAUCAUCAAGGAACAUCUCAGUGAGGCAAGACAAGUCCUGCUUUGAGAACAGUGGUCUCCCCUCUUUAGCAGAGAGUGAAGGAUGUAUUUUGUAACACAAGGGAAGCCUUGUGCUUUUAAGAUCAUAUUACAAUCUAGAGAGAACAGAGAAUUUAGGUGGAAAAAAAAAUCAAACUUUUCUCAUAAAUACUUGGAGAGGGUGUAUUUGGAUUUUUAUUUAUUUAUUUUUUGUCAUUGUUCUGUGCACAAUAGAUGUGUGUAAUUGAGCGUUUUACAAAGAGAAGUUGUUUUAUAAAUCAUGAAAAAGAUGUUCUGGAAAUUGUAGAAAUAAGAUGCUAUGGUUUUUUUUGUUUUGUUUUUUUGUUUUUUUUUCUUUUUUAAAUAAUCAAAAUUGCUUCCCAAACAUUUUGCUUGGAGGAAAGCUGGAUGUUUUUUUUGUUGUUGUUAUAUAAGCACUAAUGGAAGUUUCUGUCUUACACUAACUUAUAGCAACUUACCUAAACAGAAUGAUGAUAUGUACAAAGUUAGACUACAAGCUUUCAGACAAAAAACCCAACAAUUUAAGAUAUUGAUAAUUUUAGCCCAUAAGCGCUAUGAUUAACAAGAUUUUUUU
ensembl:lncRNA